UAGUCUAACAAAAAAAUAACAAGUUAUUGUUUGUGGGGAUGUGGGACUGAAAGAAGAAUAGAGCACUGUGAACGAUGACUGCAUAUAAACCUAUAGCUGAUCCCGCCAGGCGUUGGCCGUGCCAUUUUUUUUUAUUUCUGAACUAUUCCUUUUUGGUUUUGACUGUGUCAGUAACUAGUAUUGAAUGUAAACAAAUAGGUGGAAAGUGGGUAGUCCACCUCCGACGGACUAAACGUGUUUUGUUGUGUCAAGACUAUACUAACUACAAAAAUGUGAAAUGAAAAUGAUUGUGUGCGUGCGAUAACAACCGGACAACCAGGUAGUAUUUUACUAUUUAAUAUUGCAAAUAAUAGCUUCUUCACCGAUCUCUCAGUUUUCACAUGAUUUUUUAGAAUAUUUAUGAAAAAACAAACAAAGAAUAAAAUUAAAAACAUCUACAAAUUCAAUGACUGUAGUCAGAAACGUUUAUUGCACAUUAAAAACAUUAUCAAUAUAAUUGUAUUUUAAUUUAUUUUCAUUAAUAUGGUCAGUUGUAUUUCUUUUAAAAUAUCUUAUUGGGGAAAAAAAUUUAAAUAAAAAAUAUCUUAGACUUAUGAAAAUAUAUAAAAGAUAUAAUAGACUAUAUUUUAUACCACUAAACUAUAACAUUUCUUGGUAGCUUAUAUUAUCUAUUCUUUUGUAGGAGCAUAUAUAUAUAUAAUUUUUUUGCCAAACUUACUUGAGAACAUGCAACAUAAAAUUAGCUACAUAUAAUAAAGACUAAACUAGUGUAUAUAUUGUUGGUGAAUGCGUGAUGCUCGAGAUUAUUUUCAUCCAUUGCUUCUCGGAACGCUCGCCAAUAAAACACGCAAAAGAAAAAAUGGUCAGGUUGCAGGUAGCUGAAACUAAUUAACUUAGACAAAUGCUAUUGCAAUAGAAACCCUCUCUGUGAUAUACUCUUUUGUUUUAAAAUAAAAUCAAGAAGAUCUUAUAAGUAGUUUCAGAGUUUACUCUGUACAAAGAUUUUCAUUUCACAUUUAUAUAGUUAGAUAAUAUCUGCUAGUACUUACGUACUAUGGACACUGACAGAAAAUUUUUGGAAAAAAAAUCUUAGGAACAAAGAUAAUAUGUAUAGGUACCUAUAAAUAAUUAUGUAAUUAAUAAUAUCACAACGUAUUGACUAUAAUAUGUAGCAAUACAAAUAAUUAUUAAAUUAAAGGGAUUCGAUACUGGCUGUUUUCUAUCAAACCUAUAUAG